GUUUAGAAAGAUGGAGGGAGAAGUCAUAUUUGCAGUUGUUAUUGUAGAAGAAGAAGAAGAAAUUGGGGCUAGUGUGAAUAGAAGAGCAGAUGAAGGAUUAACAUUUGAGAUAAUAACAAAUCGUCAGCAAAGAAGAAGGGUCAGCGCAGUUGACUGACUUGUCUACAUCAAGUGUUGAUGAAGAAGGAAGCUGAGGUUGGAACAUGUCGAAGGAACAUGCCUAACGAAGCUGACUGGCGAGUUACAACACUGGUGAAGAAUUAGAGUUACGCUAGGAUUAGACUAUCUAUGUUAAUCAGGAUUAUAUUUCGUCUAGAAGUAUAUUUAUGAUUAGGAUUAUAGUACAACUAGGAUUAGAUUAUUUAUAAUUACAUUAUUAUUAUUAUUAUAGUAGUAAUAUGUAUUGUAAUAAGACUCUAAGUACUGUUAACUUAAAACUCUACAAUUCUCUCCUACAUUAAGAGUAUGUACUUAACAUUAUCAUUCACCAAUUCAUCAAUAAUUGAUCACAUAUCAAUUCAUCAA